rnacentral:rRNA from 1 species
GUGCCAGCAGCCGCGGUAAUACGGGGGGUGCGAGCGUUAAUCGGAAUAACUGGGCGUAAAGGGCACGCAGGCGGUGACUUAAGUGAGAUGUGAAAGCCCCGAGCUUAACUUGGGAAUUGCAUUUCAUACUGGGUCGCUAGAGUACUUUAGGGAGGGAUAGAAUUCCACGUGUAGCGGUGAAAUGCGUAGAGAUGUGGAGGGAUACCGAAGGCGAAGGCAGCCCCUUGGGAAUGUACUGACGCUCAUGUGCGAAAGCGUGGGGAGCAAACAGGAUUAGAAACCCUAGUAGUCC